CUUUAUCGGAGAGUUUGAUCCUGGCUCAGGACGAACGCUGGCGGCGUGCCUAAUACAUGCAAGUCGAGCGGACAGAUGGGAGCUUGCUCCCUGAUGUUAGCGGCGGACGGGUGAGUAACACGUGGGUAACCUGCCUGUAAGACUGGGAUAACUCCGGGAAACCGGGGCUAAUACCGGAUGCUUGUUUGAACCGCAUGGUUCAAACAUAAAAGGUGGCUUCGGCUACCACUUACAGAUGGACCCGCGGCGCAUUAGCUAGUUGGUGAGGUAAUGGCUCACCAAGGCAACGAUGCGUAGCCGACCUGAGAGGGUGAUCGGCCACACUGGGACUGAGACACGGCCCAGACUCCUACGGGA
rnacentral:rRNA from 1 species